rnacentral:rRNA from 1 species
GAGUUCGAUCCUGGCUCAGGACGAACGCUGGCGGCGCGCUUAACACAUGCAAGUCGAACCGGGUCACUCUUUCGGGGGUGGCUUAGUGGCGAACGGGUGCGUAACACGUGAGCAACCUGCCCCUGUAUGGGGGAUAACCCUGGGAAACCGGGGCUAAUACCGCAUGCGCUCUGGGAGCUACCUGGCUCUUUGAGGAAAGUCCCUGAAAGGGGAUGUGCAGGGAGGGGCUCGCGGCGUAUCAGCUAGUUGGUGGGGUAACGGCUCACCAAGGCGACGACGCGUAGCCGGUCUGAGAGGACGACCGGCCACAUUGGGACUGAGAUACGGCCCAGACUCCUACGGGAGGCAGCAGUGGGGAAUCUUGCGCAAUGGGCGAAAGCCUGACGCAGCGACGCCGCGUGGGGGAGGAAGCUUUUCGGAGUGUAAACCCCUGUCAGGAGGGAAGAACGGUCACAGGAGGAAAUGCUUGUGAUUUGACGGUACCUCCAGAGGAAGCACCGGCUAACUCUGUGCCAGCAGCCGCGGUAAUACAGAGGGUGCGAGCGUUGUUCGGAAUUACUGGGCGUAAAGCGCGCGUAGGCGGCUACUUAAGUCUUACCGUGAAAUGCCGGGGCUCAACCCCGCGCACGUCGGGGGAUACUGGGGAGCUGGAGACAAGUAGAGGCGAGCGGAAUUCCGGGUGUAGCGGUGGAAUGCGUAGAGAUCCGGAAGAACACCAGAGGCGAAGGCGGCUCGCUGGGCUUGGUCUGACGCUGAGGCGCGAAAGCGUGGGGAGCGAACAGGAUUAGAUACCCUGGUAGUCCACGCCGUAAACGAUGGAUGCUAGACGCUGGGCGGAUCGACCCGGUCAGUGUCGCAGCUAACGCGAUAAGCAUCCCGCCUGGGGAGUACGGCCGCAAGGCUGAAACUCAAAGGAAUUGACGGGGGCCCGCACAAGCGGUGGAGCAUGUGGUUUAAUUCGAAGCAACGCGAAGAACCUUACCUGGGCUUGACAUGCAUUUGAAACUCCGGUGAAAGCCGGAGCCCUCUUCGGAGCAGGUGCACAGGUGCUGCAUGGCUGUCGUCAGCUCGUGUCGUGAGAUGUUGGGUUAAGUCCCGCAACGAGCGCAACCC